CAAACCUGAUUUACCAAUACCAGCAGGGGAUCUUUCGGUAAAAUCAGCUUGGUACUUGUGCAUAUUCUAUGGAGUAGCUGGACUUUUGAUUGUUUAUUUUAACUCUGGGUUAUUCCUCACUGCUCUAUACUGCUUUAGUAUUUUGCUUGGAUGUCUUUACUCUGUCCCACCAUUCAGAUUGAAGAGAUCUCCUAUUGCAGCAUUUCUUUGUAUUGUCACGGUACGAGGUUUGGUUUUAAAUUUCAGUGUAUAUUAUGCCACGAGAGCUGCCCUUGGACUCGCAUUUGUGUGGAAGGCCCCUUUCAUUUUCAUCACAACCUUUUUUACACUGUUUGCUCUGGUCAUUGCUAUCACAAAAGAUCUUUCAGAUAUAGAGGGUGACCG